rnacentral:rRNA from 1 species
AGAGUUUGAUCAUGGCUCAGGACGAACGCUGGCGGCGUGCUUAACACAUGCAAGUCGAACGAUGAUGCCCAGCUUGCUGGGCGGAUUAGUGGCGAACGGGUGAGUAACACGUGAGUAACCUGCCCUUGACUUCGGGAUAACUCCGGGAAACCGGGGCUAAUACCGGAUAUGAGCCGUCCUCGCAUGGGGGUGGUUGGAAAGUUUUUCGGUCAGGGAUGGGCUCGCGGCCUAUCAGCUUGUUGGUGGGGUGAUGGCCUACCAAGGCGACGACGGGUAGCCGGCCUGAGAGGGCGACCGGCCACACUGGGACUGAGACACGGCCCAGACUCCUACGGGAGGCAGCAGUGGGGAAUAUUGCACAAUGGGCGAAAGCCUGAUGCAGCGACGCCGCGUGAGGGAUGAAGGCCUUCGGGUUGUAAACCUCUUUCAGCAGGGAAGAAGCGCAAGUGACGGUACCUGCAGAAGAAGCGCCGGCUAACUACGUGCCAGCAGCCGCGGUAAUACGUAGGGCGCAAGCGUUGUCCGGAAUUAUUGGGCAUAAAGAGCUCGUAGGCGGUUUGUCGCGUCUGGUGUGAAAACUCGAGGCUCAACCUCGAGCUUGCAUCGGGUACGGGCAGACUAGAGUGCGGUAGGGGAGACUGGAAUUCCUGGUGUAGCGGUGGAAUGCGCAGAUAUCAGGAGGAACACCGAUGGCGAAGGCAGGUCUCUGGGCCGCAACUGACGCUGAGGAGCGAAAGCAUGGGGAGCGAACAGGAUUAGAUACCCUGGUAGUCCAUGCCGU